GAGUUUGAUCCUGGCUCAGAACGAACGCUGGCGGCGCGUCUUAAACAUGCAAGUCGAGCGGUAACACUUCGGGUGACGAGCGGCGAACGGGUGAGUAACACGUGGGUAUCUGCCUUAGAGCGGGGGACAACUACUGGAAACGGUAGCUAAUACCCCAUAGUCCGGUAACGGUAAAGGAUCGUUUGAUUCACUCUAAGAUGAGCCUGCGGCCUAUUAGCUAGUUGGUGGGGUAAUAGCCUACCAAGGCAACGACGGGUAGCCGACCUGAGAGGGUGAUCGGCCACACUGGCACUGAGACACGGGCCAGACUCCUACGGGAGGCAGCAGUUAAGAAUCUUGCGCAAUGGGCGAAAGCCUGACGCAGCGACGCCGCGUGAGGGAUGAAGGCAUUCGUGUUGUAAACCUCGGUAAGAUGGGAAGAAUAAGAGUAUUCGAAAGGAUGCUUGAUGACGGUACCAUCCUGAAGCCCCGGCUAAUUACGUGCCAGCAGCCGCGGUAAUACGUAUGGGGCUAGCGUUGUUCGGAAUUAUUGGGCGUAAAGGGCACGCAGGUGGAUAAAAAAGUUGGUUGUAUAAUCUUUCGGCUCAACCGGAAGUCUGCUUCCAAAACUAUUUAUCUUGAGUACCAGAGGGGAGAGCGGAAUUCUCGGUGUAGCGGUGGAAUGCGCGGAUAUCGAGAAGAACACCAGUGGCGAAGGCGGCUCUCUGGCUGGUUACUGACACUCAUGUGCGAAAGCGUGGGUAGCGAACAGGAUUAGAUACCCUGGUAGUCCACGCCGUAAACGUUGUACACUAGGUGUCGGGGGUUUCAACGCCCUCGGUGCCGCCGCUAACGCAUUAAGUGUACCGCCUGGGGAGUAUGCUCGCAAGGGUGAAACUCAAAGGAAUUGACGGGGGCCCGCACAAGCGGUGGAGCAUGUGGUUUAAUUCGACGAUACGCGAAACACCUUACCUGGGCUUGACAUCUAGUGGGCAGGCGUAGAGAUACGCUCUCCUUCGGGCCGCUAGACAGGUGUUGCAUGGUUGUCGUCAGCUCGUGUUGUGAAAUGUUGGGUUAAGUCCCGCAACGAGCGCAACCCCUACUUUCUGUUGCUACCAGGUAAUGCUGGGCACUCUGAAGGAACUGCCGGUGACAAACCGGAGGAAGGUGGGGAUGACGUCAAAUCAGCAUGGCCCUUAUGUCCAGGGCUACACACGUGCUACAAUGGCCGGUACAGAGGGUUGCAAAGCCGCGAGGUGGAGCAAAUCUCAGAAAACCGGUCUCAGUUCGGAUCGCAGUCUGCAACUCGACUGCGUGAAGCCGGAAUCGCUAGUAAUCGCGAAUCAGCAUUGUCGCGGUGAAUACGUUCCCGGGCCUUGCACACACCGCCCGUC
rnacentral:rRNA from 1 species